UACGUAGGGUGCGAGCGUUAAUCGGAAUACUGGGCGUAAAGCGUGCGCAGGCGGCGCGUUAAGACAGGUGUGAAAGCCCCGAGCUUAACUUGGGAAUUGCGCUUGUGACUGGCGUGCUGGAGUGUGGCAGAGGGAGGUGGAAUUCCACGUGUAGCAGUGAAAUGCGUAGAGAUGUGGAGGAACACCGAUGGCGAAGGCAGCCUCCUGGGCCAGCACUGACGCUCAUGCACGAAAGCGUGGGAGCAAACAGG
rnacentral:rRNA from 1 species